UAAAGAAUCGGGGUGGCACGCGUAUUUCGGCGAUCAGAUACACGAUAGAUUCGGCAUUCGUGAUUUGGCGAUUGUCAAAGUGUGUACUAAACGCGAAACCCGUCACACGAGCAAUCGGUGAGACGAUGAUCGUAUCGGACGACACGAGACGCGAGUAUUUAUGUUUAUGCUGUGACGCGAGAUAGCAAUCGCCAAGAAAACGUAAAUCGUUACCCGAAAAAUACACAGUCUCCGCUGAGCGCAACAAGCGUAGUCUCGUCGCGUCGGCUGCCGCUGACGAAGUGUCGAGCGCGUAAAGUUGCUCCCCCUGCCCUUUCCCCUUCUCCUUGCCACUUACGCCGCAUUUUCAUACGUGUGCUUGUGUAACGUCGCGGGCGGUCGCGGGCGGUCGCGGACAACGGAGCGGAUCGCAGCUUCGUAACAUUACGUCGGGUGUGUCGCUUAAAGUAUCGCGUGGACACUCAUAUUUCGGCGAUUAGAUACACGAUAGAUUUGGCAUUCGUAAAUUAGCGAUUGUAAAAGUGCGUGCUCCACGCGAAAUCCGUCGGAGAGUAGUGAGGAGACGAUCGCAUCGGACGACGCGAUGCCUGUGUGUUCAUGUUUAUGUUGCGACGCGAGGUAUCGAACAUAAUAAAAACACGAAACACGAACACGUUGAUCGUUACCCGAGAAAUGUACGCAACAGGCGUAGCAUUGUCGCGUCGGUAACCUCUCCCCCGCAGUUCGCAAGUAAAUAGCGUUGGUAACCACUGUUGACGGCGUAAAGUUGCCUCCCCUGCCUCUUCCCCGCGCGACUCCCGCCAAACAUCAUCGUCAUUUUCGUUACAGUGUUUGUGGAACAUCGCGGUCAGCGAACAGAUCGCAGCUUCGUACCAUUACGUCGGGCGUGUCGCUCAAAGUAUCGCGUGGGCACUCGUAUUUCGGCGAUUAGAUACACGAUAGAUUCGGCAUUCGUAAAUAAGCGAUUGUAAAAGUGCGUGCUCCACGCGAAACCCGUCGGAGAGUAGUGAGGAGACGACCGCAUCGGACGACGCGAUGCCUGUGUAUUCAUGUUUGCGUCGCGAGGUAUCAAUCAUAAUAAAAACGCGAACGUUGAUCGUUACCAGAAAAACACACGGUCAAUCUCGGUGCGCGCAAUAGGCGUAGCAUCGUCGCGUCGGUAACCUCUCCCCCGCAGUUCGCAAGUAAAUAGCGUUGGUAACCAUUGUUGACGGCGUAAAGUUGCCCUCCCUGCCCCUUCCCGCGCGACUCCCGCCAAUAUCAUCGUUUUCGUUACAGUGCGUAUGGAACGUCGCGGACACAGCGAGCGGAUUAUAGCUUCGUACCGUCACGUCGGCUGUGUCGCUUAAAGUAUCGUGCUGACACUCGUAUUUUGGCGAUUAGAUACACGAUAGAUUCGGCAUUCGUGAAUUGGCGAUUGUUGAAACGUAUACUUCACGCGAGAUUCGCGCGAUCGAAACCUAACCUGUCCCUCGUUCGAGCAAUCAGUAAAGCGACGAUCGUAUCGAAUGAUGCGACACGCGGAUAUGCAUAUUUAUGUUGUGACGCGAGAUAGCAAUCGCCAUAAAACGCGAACGAUAAUCGGUAGUCCGGAAAAUGCAAGAGUAGUGUCGUUUGUCAGAACAGGCAUUGUCGCCGACGGUAACCGCUUUUGGCCGUGUCAAGUUGAUCCUCCGCGAUUUACGCAAAGUCCCAUCGUUUUAAUUUCUCGUUACAUUGCCGUGGAAUAUCGCGGACAGCGAGCGGAUAUUACUUUCGCCUCAAGGAGCACAAUCUAGUGGAACAGAUUGUGCUUCUUGCAAGCGUUAUAUUUUUUCGUCGCCCAUCGCAUCGAGAAGGUUGUACAAGUGUCGCGUUCUAUCGAUCGUCGUAUUUUAUAAUGAUCAGUGUGUUCGCGAGUGUAAUCAAUCGAGUGUUUUCACACAAGUAUUAUCUAUAUGCUAGAUUGUUACCCAAUCCUGGUUAUGUGUAUACCUGAGAGGAAGCUAUCUGAAAAAAUCUGAGAUAAGGAAACCUGAGAGAAUCUCGAACGACCUAAGGAAGUCUUUGCAGACAUCAGGCGACAGCGUGGAACAACCGUGAUAAACAUGGUGCUUCAACGCCGCAGUACAUCGUAUCGGUGAGUGAUUAAAUAAUUUUUUUAUCUGAAGUAAAGUGGAUCUAUAAUGCAGAUAAAUAAUACAUCUCAUAGAUCCAUUCUUUUCAUACGAAAGAGGUCGUAUUAUCGCGAUAUUAUCACAACGAUAUAGUUUAUUAGUGCGCGAAGAGGAUACAUAGUAUUUUUACAUCUCCUGAUUGGAAUGUGGGCGUCCUUUCGUUUGUCCGUGAAAUACAAAUAAUUUAUAGCAAGAUUGUUAUAAAACCGCAUUAUAAAAAAGGGACCAUCGUUUGUCAAAUUAAUCUUAACGAGCAUCUAAAUCAUAUUUCUAACACGCAAUCCUUAUUUAUCGAUUAAUCUUGAAUCCGACUGUUUGGAAUUCAAUAAUAUCUUUAAUUAAUUAAAAUAUAAAUACUGAUUUUCUUACAAUUUUCAUGGGAGAGCUCAAUAUUCUCUGCUAUUAAUUUCUGUAAAGAAAAAUUGGUUUGAUAAAAGGAUUGUUUAUUCCAUAUCUAAAUUAAAACUUCUAGGGACUGAGCUCCCACACACCGACGCUUUCAUCGGUUAAAAUUUGUGACUAGUGCGAGUCCAGUGGCCCCUGUUAAUACGCAAGACAUUCUCAGACGGCGUCGCGAAUUAAUAUAGCCUCGACGGCACGGUGCAUCGGAGAUUAUAAUUGCCCUCGGAAUAAUA